rnacentral:piRNA from 1 species
UAUUCUGUUUAUACUUUAACU